CAAAUGAAUUGACGGGGCCGCACAAGCGGUGGAGCAUGUGGUUUAAUUCGACGCAACGCGAAGAACCUUACCAGGGCUUGACAUCCCCUGACCGCGUAUGAAAGUACGUUUUCACCCUCGGGUGACAGGGAGACAGGUGGUGCAUGGUUGUCGUCAGCUCGUGUCGUGAGAUGUUGGGUUAAGUCCCGCAACGAGCGCAACCCCUACGUUUAGUUGCUAACGCGUGAAGGCGAGCACUCUAGACGAACUGCCGUUGACAAAACGGAGGAAGGUGGGAUGACGUCAAAUCAUCAUGCCCCUUAUGUUCUGGGCUACACACGUGCUACAAUGGCCGGUACAGACGGACGCAAAGCCGCGAGGUGGAGCAAAUCCUAAAAAGCCGGUCUCAGUUCGGAUUGCAGGCUGCAAUUCGCCUGCAUGAAGUCGGAAUCGCUAGUAAUCGCAGGUCAGCAUACUGCGGUGAAUACGUUCCCGGGCCUU
rnacentral:rRNA from 1 species